CAGUGAAUAACCAAAGAUGUAUACCCAUGUGUAAGAGGUAAGAGGUGCAUAUGGAGCCAGGCAACAACAUAUUGAAAGACUUCAGAGGUCAAAAUGAAAAAUAAGAUAUUAUGACAUAGAGCAAAAGAUCAGCCUUCCAUUGCAAAAGUGUUGAGGUGGUCAACAGUGAAGGAUAAUGACAAAAAUCUGAAGAAGAAUAAAUGGAUAGUGUAUAUUAGAUUGGCAUAUGUCCUGUUCUCUGAAGUAUUAAGCAUUUUCAGUAGAGAAAGCCAUACUUGAAAUCAUCCUUAAAAUUGAUAUGCUAUCUGAAGAUCACUCAUUAAUAUGAUGCCACUAGGACCAGUUAAAGGUCCUUUCACAUAGAAUACAAGA
rnacentral:lncRNA from 1 species